rnacentral:tRNA from 1 species
AGGGCAGUAGCUCCAAUCGGUUAGAGCGGCGGUUUCCAAAACCGCAAGUUGUGGGUUCGAGUCCUACCUGCCCUGCCA